UGGCCGAGUGGUUGAAGGCGUAGCACUGGAACUGCUAUGUAAGCUUUUUUUUUUUUUACCGAGGGUUCGAAUCACUC
rnacentral:tRNA from 1 species